AAGAAGUCAGGCCGGAUUAAGCCAUAGUACGGUAAGAGCUAUGCUGCCUGUGAGCCCCGUCUAAGGACGCAAAAUGAAGUCAGGCCGAAAGCCACGGUUUGAGCAAACCGUGCUGCCUGUAGCUCCAUCGUGGGGAUGUAAAAACCUGGGAGGCUGCAACCCAUGGAAGCUGUACGCAUGGGGUAGCAGACUAGUGGUUAGAGGAGACCCCUCCCGAAACACAACGCAGCAGCGGGGCCC
rnacentral:lncRNA from 1 species